GCCUUCCUAUGUUAAUUUUCAUCUAUUGUGGCAUAGUGAAAAUUCCGGUUGCAUUUUUGAGCUGAUUUGUUUGGUUCUUUUGGUCUUCAGAGGCAACGAAGAUGUAUGCAUGCAUGUGGUUUGGAUCUCUUUCCAGAUAAGUUCUGAGAUUGUUCUCUCGUCGUUUGCUUGUAUUGAGUUUGGGCAUUAGUGAACCUAUUUCUCUUUGUAUGAGAGUCAAAUUUCUUAAUGCAUGUUCAAUCGUUGCCGAGGAUGGUUAUCAUGGAUGAGAAUGGGAAGCAGGGAAGGUGCGGGUUCGUGAGACGGGUGCCUCCUUUUCCAGAUCGACCACAGGAGAGGUCAAUGCCUUGAAGGAGGAAGUGACAACCCUAAAAGGUCAACUUGCAGCCCAGGGCGAGCAAAUGAGUAUUAUUGUACGGGCCUUACAGAUUUCCGGCCUCUAAAUCCCGAUGCCAGCACCUAAUCUUGCUCCACCUUCGACCUCCCAGCCACUUCGCCCAGCCGAUACAUAGUAGUCUGAUGUAUCAAACAUAGAAGACUACUUGUUGUAGUUUUUUCUUUUUUGUUCGAACAUCUUGUAUGUACAUUUUCAUAUAUUUUAUAAUUAAAUACUUUUU